rnacentral:rRNA from 1 species
GAUGAACGCUGGCGGCAUGCCUAAUACAUGCAAGUCGAGCGAACAGACGAGGAGCUUUCUCCUCUGACGUUAUCGCCGGACGGAUGAUUAACACGUGGAUAACCUACCUAUAAGACUGGGAUAACUUCGGGAAACCGUAUCUACUACCCAAUAAUUUAUUGACCCUCAUUGUUCACUAGUUAAAUUCGGUUUUUCUUUCGGUAAAAGAUUAAUCCGCCCAUCAUUAGUUACUGGGUAGGGUAACGGCUUACCCAGGCAACGAGGCGUAGCCGCCCUGAGAGGGUGGUUGGCCACACUGGAACUGAGAAACGGUACAGACUCUUAGGGGAGGCCGCAGUAGGGAAUCUUCCGCAAUGGGCGAGAGCGUGACGGAGCAACGCCGCGUGAGUGAUGAUGGUCUUCUGAUGGUAAAGCUCUGUAAUUAGGGAAGAACAAAUGUGUAAGUACCUAUGCACGUCUUGACGGUACCUAAUCAGAAAGCCACGGCUAACUCCGUG